UAGUUUUGUCCUAAGUCAAAGUUCUCUAACUUCGACCAAGUUUAUAGAAAAAUAUAUUAACAUCUACAAUACCAGAUAAAUGCACUAUCAAUACAUAUUUUAUGGUGGAUCUAAUGAAACUAAAUUGAUGCCAUAGAUGUUGGUACAUUUUUUUAUAAACUUGGUCAAAAUUAAAGAAGUUUGACUUAGGGUAAUAAAGC
rnacentral:pre_miRNA from 1 species